UGCAGUCGAGCGGACAGAUGGGAGCUUGCUCCCUGAUGUUAGCGGCGGACGGGUGAGUAACACGUGGGUAACCUGCCUGUAAGACUGGGAUAACUCCGGGAAACCGGGGCUAAUACCGGAUGGUUGUUUGAACCGCAUGGUUCAAACAUAAAAGGUGGCUUCGGCUACCACUUACAGAUGGACCCGCGGCGCAUUAGCUAGUUGGUGAGGUAACGGCUCACCAAGGCAACGAUGCGUAGCCGACCUGAGAGGGUGAUCGGCCACACUGGGACUGAGACACGGCCCAGACUCCUACGGGAGGCAGCAGUAGGGAAUCUUCCGCAAUGGACGAAAGUCUGACGGAGCAACGCCGCGUGAGUGAUGAAGGUUUUCGGAUCGUAAAGCUCUGUUGUUAGGGAAGAACAAGUACCGUUCGAAUAGGGCGGUACCUUGACGGUACCUAACCAGAAAGCCACGGCUAACUACGUGCCAGCAGCCGCGGUAAUACGUAGGUGGCAAGCGUUGUCCGGAAUUAUUGGGCGUAAAGGGCUCGCAGGCGGUUUCUUAAGUCUGAUGUGAAAGCCCCCGGCUCAACCGGGGAGGGUCAUUGGAAACUGGGGAACUUGAGUGCAGAAGAGGAGAGUGGAAUUCCACGUGUAGCGGUGAAAUGCGUAGAGAUGUGGAGGAACACCAGUGGCGAAGGCGACUCUCUGGUCUGUAACUGACGCUGAGGAGCGAAAGCGUGGGGAGCGAACAGGAUUAGAUACCCUGGUAGUCCACGCCGUAAACGAUGAGUGCUAA
rnacentral:rRNA from 1 species